rnacentral:rRNA from 1 species
GACGGGGGCCCGCACAAGCGGUGGAGCAUGUGGUUUAAUUCGAAGCAACGCGAAGAACCUUACCAGGUCUUGACAUCCCGAUGCUAUUUCUAGAGAUAGAAAGUUACUUCGGUACAUCGGUGACAGGUUGGUGCAUGGUUGUCGUCAGCUCGUGUCGUGAGAUGUUGGGUUAAGUCCCGCAACGAGCGCAACCCUUGUCAUUAAUUGCCAUCAUUCAGUUAGGCACUUUAAUGAGACUGCCGGUGACAAACCGGAGGAAGGUGGGGAUGACGUCAAGUCCUCAUGGCCCUUAUGGGUAGGGCUUCACACGUAAUACAAUGGUCGGUACAGAGGGUUGCCAACCCGCGAGGGGGAGCCAAUCCCAGAAAACCGAUCGUAGUCCGGAUCGCAGUCUGCAACUCGACUGCGUGAAGUCGGAAUCGCUAGUAAUCGCGGAUCAGCAUGUCGCGGUGAAUACGUUCCCGGGUCUU